rnacentral:rRNA from 1 species
GACGAACGCUGGCGGCGUGCUUAACACAUGCAAGUCGAACGGAAAGGCCCUGCUUUUGUGGGGUGCUCGAGUGGCGAACGGGUGAGUAACACGUGAGUAACCUGCCCUUGACUUUGGGAUAACUUCAGGAAACUGGGGCUAAUACCGGAUAGGAGCUCCUGCUGCAUGGUGGGGGUUGGAAAGUUUCGGCGGUUGGGGGGGGGCUCGGGGCUUGCCAGCUUGUUGGUGGGGUAGUGGCUUACCAAGGCUUUGACGGGUAGCCGGCCUGAGAGGGUGACCGGCCACAUUGGGACUGAGACACGGCCCAGACUCCUACGGGAGGGAGCAGUGGGGAAUAUUGCACAAUGGGCGGAAGCCUGAUGCAGCAACGCCGCGUGCGGGAUGACGGCCUUCGGGUUGUAAACCGCUUUCGCCUGUGACGAAGCGUGAGUGACGGUAAUGGGUAAAGAAGCACCGGCUAACUACGUG